UAUUUAAAUUUACAAUAUACUUAUUUAAAUAACUCAUAAAACAAAGAGAACACUUUACGAAUGAUAAUAAAUAAUUUUAUUAAUGAAAAAAAUCCUAUUUAGAGCUCAACAACAUGAAUACAUUUGUGCAUUAAACAUCUCCUAAAAGUCUACAAGAUAAUACUAACUGUACAUUUUCACCGUAGCGUGUCGAACAUGUGCAUUAAUCGUCUCUAGCUAAUCCUCGUUGUCGACUUUGAUGAAUCGCUUCAAUGAAAGUCUGCAAACAAGCUAGCUUGGAGGCAAACACCGCCAAAAUCUUCAUUAAGUAGCGCAAAUGUCGUUGUCAUGAAAGCCCCAUCUCUACUAGCUAGCAUAUUCUUCUCAUUGCACUUAUAUUCUUGAAUCUUAAUUUCCUUCUUCAUCAAUUUUGUGUGUCUUCGAUGUGUUAUAUAAACGGUGCCUCUAUGUUUCACCUGAUACCAUAUAAAUUGAGUAAUAAAUAUACAUAACAUAAAUUGAAUUAUAUAUAUUAUGAUGUUGAAAGACAUCAGAAUUUAAAGAAAACUUUCUUACUCCAAAGACCAUUGAUAUCAAACAAUAUGGAGGGCAAUUCGUAGUGCUCUAAAAGAAGCAAUUAGAUGAAUAAAAUAAAGAAAAAUGAAAACAAAGAAAACAUAAUCGCAUAUAAACCAAACGCCUACAUUCCCCUGAAUUAUCAUUAGCACCCCCAAUAACUAGUUGUUAAUACGAAACCUUAUAUCAUUAAUUACUAACACUAAAAUUAAAGUAUAUAGCAAUAUAAAAUGACACAAUACAAUACAUCUUGUGAGCAAAUUAAUUAAUAUGUCAGAUUACUUACCUCCUCAGUAGCAUCAAGUUUUUGAACACCAGUUAUGUGUUUCUGCCAACACAAAAAAGAAGAAAAAAAAAUAUUUCAAAUGUAUUAUCUGAGUUAUUGAUCAAUUAAUACUCCAAAGGUACAAUUUUAAACUAAAGAAAUGAGACAAAACAUGUAAGAAAUAUGACUACUGAAGUAAUCUUGACAAAACCAUAAAAAUAAAAUACUAAAAAUGAAAAACAUUCAUUCACUUGGUCUAUCACAUGAUCUUAAAUAAAUAAAUAAAUAAAAAAAAAAAAGAGAAAUGGCAUAUGAAACUCUUACCCAAUCAAGCAAAACAUAAAGAAUGUACAUAAAAAUCAUAUGGUAUGCCUACUCAAUCAUUUCGAGAAGAUGAGAAUGGUCGGUACCAUGAAUCUGAAGUCCGAAAUUCAAUUUGAUAGUCAUUUGAGACAGAAUAUUCAUUCUCCAAAGCAAUCUAAAAUUGUAUCUGAAACAAAAAAAAAAACAAUAUUCAUUAUCCAAAGAAAUUCAAAACUAAAACUAAAAUAUAAUAUUGAUUCUCCAAAGUAAUCCAUAUGAAAUCCAGAAAGUGAAAUCAAAAUUGAAACUCAAGUCUUAUUCUCUCAUUGACUCCGAUAUGUUAUUCUCUGCAAAAUAGGAAAUCAUUAUCAUAAGUGAUAAGUGGCACAUAAACAAUUCUUAAGAACAAUAAAUUGAGCAUAUUAGGUAGGUAUUAUGGAAGUACAUGAAUGGAAUAGGCGGGGUUAUUAAAAGCAAUAUGAAAUCUGAAUACCCAAUUAAGUAUUAGGGCUUUUAUCAGUCCAAUUAUAAAAUAAUCAAAGAAGAAAAAUAAACCUAAUUCAAAGUGAGAGGGUUUUUACAUAUGUCGGCUUUAGGGCUUACCGUUGGAUAGCAUCGUUGCGGCGGUGUCUGGUGGGGAUUAGAGAGACGAUGUAGAGGGCGACCGAAGCAGGGUAUAACUGAAAAUUUUCGAGACCUUUGCAUCUUUGGCAUUUUCGAAGACCGGAGAAGAUGGGAUAGAAACGACGAUCUAGGAAGAUCGAUGGAUGUAGCCUGGACGCCCCGAUUGAGGGCGGCGAGGGGCUGAAGCGAGAUUAGGAAAAUUAAGAAAGUGGA
rnacentral:lncRNA from 1 species